GCGGUUGGCUGGACGGUCGCUGUCGGGGUUCGCCCCGGGAGAGGAAAGUCCGGGCUCCGCAGAGCGAAGGUGGUUGUUAACGGCAACCGGGAGCGAUCCCAGGGAAAGUGCCACAGAAAACAUACCGCCACGGUCGGCUUCGGUCGGCCGGGGUAAGGGUGAAAAGGUGCGGUAAGAGCGCACCGCGGCGGCGGUGACGUCGCUGGCAGGGUAAACCCCACCUGGAGCAAGGCCAAAUAAGGGCGGAGAGGCUGCUCGUCUCGUCUGACGUCCGGGUAGGCCGCUCGAGGCCGUUCGUGAGGACGGUCCUAGAUGGAUGAUCGUCGCCCCCCCUCGGGGGGGUACAAAACCCGGCUUACAGGCCGGCCGCUCCC
rnacentral:RNase_P_RNA from 1 species